UUCCAAAUUUACUAUGCGUGUUUUCUACCAUUUGCAAAUUUCAUCGUAAUUAAAGAACUGUAUUGGCGAGAAAGAGUACUUUGCUUGGGACCGGCGGGGAUAUUCCUAUUUAUUCGGACCUGGUGGGGACCACCACGAGCGACUCUGUUUUUACCGUACACAUGGAAAUUACAGGAUUUUUAGAAUAUCCCAUAAAUAAUUUGGAAGCUAUGUCGUACAAUUUUGAUGGAUAUCUCAUUGAAUUUGUAUUUUUUUAGUUCAUAAUUUUAUGACAGAAAUUUACUGAGCUUAAUAUAAUUUCGCAAUUAACCCUAAACAACAUCCAGACCUUUUAAUGUAGUUAUCUGUUAAAUUAUCCCAUAAUUUCUUUACGGAAUAAAAGUUUGACAAAAUUUGGAAAUAUUUUUAUAAUAAAACUAGAAAUUGAA